GAUGAACGCUGGCGGCGUGCUUAACACAUGCAAGUCGAACGAGAAGUGAAGACGGAAACCUUCGGGCGGAAGGCUUUAUUUCGAGUGGCGGACGGGUGAGUAACGCGUGGGUAACCUGCCUCAUACAGGGGGAUAACAGUUGGAAACGACUGUUAAUACCGCAUAAGACCACAGCACCGCAUGGUGCGGGGGUAAAAACUCCGGUGGUAUGAGAUGGACCCGCGUUCGAUUAGCCAGUUGGCGGGGUAACGGCCCACCAAAGCGACGAUCGAUAGCCGAUCUGAGAGGAUGACCGGCCACAUUGGGACUGAGACACGGCCCAAACUCCUACGGGAGGCAGCAGUGGGGAAUAUUGCACAAUGGGGGAAACCCUGAUGCAGCGACGCCGCGUGAGUGAAGAAGUAUUUCGGUAUGUAAAGCUCUAUCAGCAGGGAAGAAAAUGACGGUACCUGAGUAAGAAGCCCCGGCUAACUACGUGC
rnacentral:rRNA from 1 species